GAAUGUAAAUUUUUGUCUUCCCUGUGAGAGUUGGGGGUCUUCCUGGAAGACGGUGGAAGUGUAGAUGGAGCAUUCUCAGCCUUUAAUUGAAGGGGUAGUGGUUGUGAAUCUUUUCUCCCAACUAUGUUAGGUUUUUGAGUUAAAUAUGAAUUAUAAGAGAGUUUUAAACAAUCUCACUAAAAAUACAUUCCCUAAUUAGUUACUCAAGUUUCACUUUCUUGGUUCCUCUGAUGUGAUAAUCCUAGUAGUACUCCUCUUAUCCAUAGUGUUAUAGGAAAAACAACAUAGACAACAUCUGAAUAAUGUAAAAAUAAACACCCCCUCCACACACACAUCUCUUAUAAUAAAAGCAAAACAUAACUAAAAUAUUUUCAGUCAUCCUUUAUAUAUAAUAAAGCAAAAAGGACCACAACCCUCUUUUUUCCUUUACAGAUCACCUUUAAAUAUCAUUAUAUCUAUUUCAUCAUUUGGUUAACUGAGGCACAGAGAUACAGUGCCUCAGUGAAGUCAAUGAGAGUUUUGCCAUUUAAUGGGGCCAGGAUUUCACCGUAAGUGUUUAUAGUCACACACAGGAGGCAGACUAGAACCCAGGAUUUCUGACUCCCAGUCUCAAACUCUAAUCACCAGGUACAACUCAGCUUAUUCCCCCAGACAUCCCCCUGAUCCUUUCGGUUAUUUGUAUUGCUUGUUGUCUGAAUUACCGUAAUUAGCAAUGGUUUUGAGGCAAACUGGUCUCAUAGCUUGAGCAAUGGCUAGGUACUAGAAACUCCCAAAUUCUAAUCUUGGAUCUCACAGUGACUUACUAUGUGGUCUUGGUCAAGCAACUUCAUUUUUCUGUGUCUAUUUCUCCAUCUGUAAAGUUGGGAUAACAACACUUCCUUCCUUAGAAGAAUGUUUUUAUGAUACUUUAGUUAAUGUUUGUCCGAAUUUUCAAACAAUAACUACACUUAGCAUUUAUAUAUAUUUUCAAUGUUAUUUUGUUAAGUAUUUUAGAAUAUUGUAUGAAAGAUUCAAUGCCUUUGUACUAUACUUAUGUAGCUUUUAAAUUUGCCUGUUUACAGAUUCUCUCUUCAGAAUUAUAUGAAGACAUCUAAAUACACCACUUUCUAACAAAUCAGUUUCACUGUCAGCAGUAUGUAAGAGUUUUUCUUCCUUUAACAAAGACAGAGGAAUCUGAAAUUGUAAUUUAAAAGCAAUGAAAUUGUGAAAGAAGGAGUCCAGUGCAGUGGUUUCUCAAUGAAGAUCAUCAAUAGAAGCACCCUUGACUAACUGCAAAAGCAGUUAAAAAUGUGCUGGUACGGUAAAGUUUAGCAUAUAACAGAUGCUUUAUGGAAAAAUCCAUAGUUUAUGUUUGAAUAUUAGGAGGCUACAAGGCCUGCAGUGUCUCAAGGGCAGUCUUUUUGGCCUAUUCACAUUUUUUAAUCAACAUGAGCUUUCUGAAAAGGAGAAACCCCAGCAAAAUACAGAUUCACUUAUUUAGGACUGAAUUGCUUACAUUCUAAAUCUUUUACUGAAAAAGUUCAAAUAAAAACAUUAAUUCCUGAAAAAGACAAUUUCAUUUAAGAAACAUAUGGAAGAAGGAAAGUUACCUUUUAUUUUUUAUUUAAAAAAAAUAAGUUGACAUUUCCAAAAUGUACUAAAAACUACACAAAUCAUUAGGGGCCAGAUCUUGGUCCCUUUAAUGUCAAUGGCAAAAUUCCCAUUGGCUUAAGUAGGAACACAAUUUGACCUUAAAAACUAUGAAAUAUAGUUACUACAGAAAGAAAAUUCAAGGGAGCAGAGAUACAAUCCAGUUGAAAAGGCUUCCUCCUGCUAUUGAACAUCCAUUAGCAGGAUCAAACAUUUUCUCCAAAUUCUUUAUUGACUGCAAAGUAACAUCAAAUGGGACCUGGCAAAGAUAAAAACAAUAUUUCUUAAGUAAAUAGCUUUUUAAUAUUAUAGUAGGAAUAAACUGAGACCUCUUAAAUUGUCACACAGGUUUCGCAACCACAAUGGAAGAAUAAAUUGCAAAUAUUUGCAGCACAUAAAUAGGUUUGAGGCCAAAAUGACCUCUUCUUACAUAAAACCCAUGGAAACAGGUAAGGGGGAGAAAACCUCAGCAAGAUCCCUUCAUAGAGUUUCUCUUUGAUCACUCUGUACCCCUCAAACCUGGGGACUUUGGCGUAUCCACUGGAUGCCAGAACACCAGGACCAUCUGCCCCAUUCAUGUCUUUGUGCCAGCUCUUGAACUUUGAUUCCUUCUGCCCACCAUUCAGUAGUGUGGCUCCAAUAGAGCCAUGGUGCCAGGGAAUCCCACUGGCUACAAUUAUCCUCAAUCCCCCUCCAACCCCCUCCCCCCCCACACACAAUGGAGGGCUGUAAAGCAGUGGUGGGCAACCUGUGGGCUGCAGAUUGCCCACUAUUGCUCUAAUGGAGAAGAGAGUGCCCCAGGUUAUAUUACAGUUCCAAGUUAAUCUCUGUGGAUCUUGUAAGAAGGUGAUGCCAGUACCCCUAGCCCUGCCACCAAUUAAUGUGAGACCACCUAGUCUAUAUGAACUAGAUCAGUUUUAAAGCUAUUGUUUAACUGCAUUCAGCCAUAAGGUAUUAUAUUUAGAAAUCACUUUUGAAUUUAAAAUGGACUUUCCUAGCAUUAUUCUUUAAAAUUUCACUGGGCACCUGACUGUACAUGACUAUAUUAUUUUUAACAGAUGAUUCAUCUUCUGUUCUCAAAACCUCAACACUAAUAUACUCUAAAAUGAAUUGAGUCAUAAAAAUGGCCUUUUGAUCUAUAAAAAGUUAAUUCAAUGAUGAAGCAAAAAGUACAGGCAUAUACGUCAA